AGUGAACGCUGGCGGUAGGCCUAACACAUGCAAGUCGAACGGCAGCACAGUAAGAGCUUGCUCUUACGGGUGGCGAGUGGCGGACGGGUGAGGAAUAUAUCGGAAUCUACUUUUUCGUGGGGGAUAACGUAGGGAAACUUACGCUAAUACCGCAUACGACCUACGGGUGAAAGCAGGGGAUCUUCGGACCUUGCGCGAUUGAAUGAGCCGAUGUCGGAUUAGCUAGUUGGCGGGGUAAAGGCCCACCAAGGCGACGAUCCGUAGCUGGUCUGAGAGGAUGGUCAGCCACACUGGAACUGAGACACGGUCCAGACUCCUACGGGAGGCAGCAGUGGGGAAUAUUGGACAAUGGGCGCAAGCCUGAUCCAGCCAUACCGCGUGGGUGAAGAAGGCCUUCGGGUUGUAAAGCCCUUUUGUUGGGAAAGAAAAGCAGCAGGUUAAUACCCCGCUGUUCUGACGGUACCCAAAGAAUAAGCACCGGCUAACUUCGUG
rnacentral:rRNA from 1 species